UGGGUAUCGUCAAGCAAAAUUCGAUGUCUACAUCAGAUAUUGUAUAGGAAAAUUAUCAGAUGAAUUAGGAAGCAUUGUCAACAUGCAGAAAGAAAUACGGUGUACCAUAAUACAACAUUUGGAAUAUUUACUUCAAUCUGCUAAACUACUUUAGAAGUCAACCACAUAAUAUGGUAUUGUCAGCAAUACUGCACUACGAUAUGACAUACUACGUUGCGUAUCACUAUAUGUCACAUGUUCAACAUCAGAUCAUAGAUAUCCGUUGAUAACAACUAUUAGAAAGAUUAUAAAUAGAGCUACAACUGAACCUCGUUCCUCAAUUCAGUUAUGAGCUAUAUCGGUGACCGAUACUAACAGACUUCUUAUAACAAUAAAUAUACAUUGUUAGUUAACAUACCGCAUACCGCUACAUUGUAGAUCGCAAGUAAAAACUCACCGCAGUUCUAUAUAUCGUUAAAACAGAUAUCAAACUGCGUAGCUAACCAGUAUAUAUUAUAACAAUACAUGAACCUACGGUAAGUUUUCCUUGUGAUCUAUAUAUUGCAAUAUGUAAAUAACACAGUAGCAACUGAAUAAAAGGUAUUCUAAUAUUUGAAAUGUAUGCUUUAU